rnacentral:lncRNA from 1 species
UAGAUAUGCUUUUUCGCAUUAUUAAUAAGAAAAUGUAAAAUUAAGAAAAAUCCGUUAUAAAAUUUCCCACUCACCUUAAAUUUCAGUUAUUUUUUCAAUUUCCAUAACUUCAUUCAGAUUAUUUAAAAUAAAAUAUAUACUUCGAGUAAAGAAGAUGUUCCCUCGUGAAACAAAUCGUACCUAGUGCCAAAACUUAUUUAAACACUUCCCAGGACCUUCCCGCAGUAGACGAUGAAUGACAUCUAUGAUUUAUUCUAAAGCACUGUUACUCCGUCUAACGAAAAAAUAAACCUCAAGUUCAUGUUAGAUGAGGCUUGAUGAAGAGCUACAUGAGCUUAAAGAUGAAGAGCUAAUCUGGUUACACUCGUUUUUUUAAACAAGGGCUAUGACUUAAAAUCACGACAUUUUGCAUGGAAAAUUUUAUUAAGAGGUACCUGACAUUGAUUGCAAGGAGCUUAUUGAGGCUUAACGAUCGGUGUGCAUCUGAUCGCACUUGCACUCCUGCAACCACUUGAGACGUCAGUAAUGCUUCGGUUGCACAUGGGAGAUACCGCCAACUGAGAAGAGGUUUACAUGGUAAAAUCGAACAGAAAUCACAUCAAGCACAUCAGGUCCUCCCGAUGCGCUUCACUGCCGCCAGGAGGGAAAGUCGGAGCGCCUUCAAUUUUAAGGCAUGCAACACGGACAACCGCCAAACACCAUGAAGUGUCUUCAGUCGUCCUUAUCAACAUCCCACACGACUGUCACAUCGUGGUUUGAGGAACGUUUUGCGGAGAAGUUGUUCUAAGAUUAAUGCACGCUAACGAAGAUUGCCUGCAAUCACUUUCUAGAAAUCGAUAAAAAAGUAUGCAAAUUUCCAAAGGACUUGAAUCACCGAAUGUUUUACUUAAAAACGUUUAAGUUAUACCCAAACUUCAAUGUAUAGGAUAAAAAGUUUAGAAAAUUUCUCAAACCGUAAUCGCAUGUGUAACUACGUACAAUCUGUAGUUAAAACUCAUAAAUGCAAAACAAAAUCGAAUGUCAAAGCACUAACGAGCACCACCCCUUUUCUUUCCCCUUCCCGUUCCCUCCUUUCCUCCUCUUCCUCUGGUCCUGUUUAGUAGAAGUAAGUUCAAUUCUAGUUUAGUUCGACCUUUGGAGACGUUUCGUUGUUGAAAUAUUCGUAGAGGACGAAAAAAUCCAAGGAAACUUUUAAGACCGGGGUAGACUUUCGGGUGAAGAUAAAAUCAAAAUCCUGAUAACAUCUGUUCUAAGUACGCAUACCUAAUAUUUAUCUCAGUGAAUUAAGUGCCACAAAGAAUUUGAUUGCCCUCUUCGAAAAAGUUCAUCUACAUAAACAUAAACAGUGAACUUCGACACUAAGUAAUGAUAGGGCGCUUCAUUGAUUUAGUUUUUGAAGUUCAUCAGCCUAUAUUUCCUGCAAUUAAGAGGUAUAGAAAGAAGCUUGGGGAAAUGAGGUUGUUAGACAUUUCGGAGAGAUGUGAGGCCGGAGUGAGUUUGAGUAUGAGAAACCAACUAAAUGAGUAAGAUUAACUAAUAACUACUCAAAAAGUACGAAGUAUGGAAGAAAAAAUUCUACAAUGGAGAAUUUGCAUGUAAAUGUUUUAUUGCUUCAUCUGAAAC